CAAAUGCACAGGAACUCCAUUGAACCACGACUAACGCGAGGGCAAUGGCUAUAGCACUUGGACACUAUCAACACAACUGCACAUAUGAAUGAUCCAUGAUACCAUCCUUAAUUUGCAUCCAUUUUGAAGAUUAACACAAACAGGUAUGCUUCAGUCAGUCAAAGACCACGAAUUUUUGGAUGCAUAUAUAGAGUUGCAAAUCGGAGUUUCAAUUCUCAGAGAGGUAUGGAAACUUAUUAGUAUUACAAUUCUUAUCAGAAAGUGAACUCUUCAGUUUAUUACCAAGACACAGCUUACUCUUCAUACAUCAAUGCAAAAGGCAAAGAGUGAAGUGCCACUGGUCCAAGUUGGAUGGAACUUAGCCAAACUAAUUGAAUAUCCAUGGCCAACAUAAACACAACCAUAGCUAACUGAUACACCCCCAUAGAUAGUAGCACCAGUGUUAAAUGUCCACAAGAUUUUACCAUUACUGGCAUCCAUGGCAUAGAGAGGGCCAUUAGGAGCCACAGAUCCUGCAAAAAGAAGUCCAUUAACUAUGGUGACCGGCCCGUGGGCCGUGUCGUUGCUAGGGUCUGCAGUGGUCCAAAGGAUUUGGCCCGUGUUUGCAUCCAAUGCUACCCAUCCACCAGCUGUUGUUGUUUGAUUCGAAGGUGCUAAGGUGAAAGGAACUCUAUUUCCAUUGACUAUGUUUGUGUAAACUCGCCUCCCAUCUGUGGCUGCACCCCAUACUCCUCCUCCCUCCAAGCUCCCUGGUCCUGCUUUCUACAUCGCACAAAAAUUCUUAGAUUAGCAAAUUUGUACUAAUAUUUCACGUUCACAAAGUUGAUUCAUCAAGACAUCGACUUUAAAUGAUCAAUAGAUUUAACUUAAAGAAGUGUUUUUAGCCCA